rnacentral:sRNA from 1 species
CCCUAGCCCAGACAGCAACGGCAUCCUUUGCUUGCCUUCUUUAGGCAGGCAAAGAUAUAGUGGAUGGCUGGAAAAGCU